GACGAACGCUGGCGGCGUGCUUAACACAUGCAAGUCGAACGGAAAGGCCCUGCUUUUGUGGGGUGCUCGAGUGGCGAACGGGUGAGUAACACGUGAGUAACCUGCCCUUGACUUUGGGAUAACUUCAGGAAACUGGGGCUACUACCGGAUAGGAGCUCCUGCUGCAUUGUGGGGGUUGGAAAGUUUCGGCGGUUGGGGAUGGACUCGCGGCUUAUCAGCUUGUUGGUGGGGUAGUGGCUUACCAAGGCUUUGACGGGUAGCCGGCCUGAGAGGGUGACCGGCCACAUUGGGACUGAGAUACGGCCCAGACUCCUACGGGAGGCAGCAGUGGGGAAUAUUGCACAAUGGGCGGAAGCCUGAUGCAGCAACGCCGCGUGCGGGAUGACGGCCUUCGGGUUGUAAACCGCUUUCGCCUGUGACGAAGCGUGAGUGACGGUAAUGGGUAAAGAAGCACCGGCUAACUACGUG
rnacentral:rRNA from 1 species